UGUCAUAGGUAUAGAUUUCUCCAGGAGUCCCUUUCUGUCUCCUUUAUGGGAACAGUGCAGUGCAAAGAAGCGAUGGUAACAGCCAGAAUUCAGCCCAAUUUACUCACCCUUAAAGAAAACCAAGGAGCUACAGCACAUACUGAAUGGCAAGAAAAUAAUCUUUGUUUACUGGACUAAAGCCUGGAGAUCCUUACUUGAUACAGAGAAUGGAAGCAGUUUUGUGGUUUGGGACAUCUUCCUCAAUCUUUUCUACAAAGCCACACAACUUCACUACAGUGCUUGUAAAGGAGCUGACCAAGUAGGCAACUGAUGCCAGAUUUGGCGCAGCAGUGUACAAAGAGGAGGAAAGCAUGUACCCUGUGGCUGCUGGGUGACUGAGAUUCAGAUGGUAUGAGACUUCACUAAGCAUUUCUUUGUAGGUCUCUGCCAUUACAAAUGGUCAUAAUUAAUGGUCUUUUCCCAUCUCUGAGACUGCCAGAAAGACUUUACAGCAAUUUAGUAGGGAAAUUAAGUGAAGAGGCAGCAAAGGGACUCCUGAAGCUGCAUCCUGAGACCAUUUUUGUCACAUUGAGCACGUGAGACUUGGACUGGCAUUUAUGGUGCCUGACUUCAGAGAUCAGACUUCACCAGAGGUGUGUUUUCAUGGGAAAAGCCAAGAGCCUGUGUUAGUCUGUACAUUCUUCAAGUAGGGGAAUUUUUUUCUCCACAUCUGAUACCAGGUAUCUGUUUUCUUUUGGGGCAUGGCAGAUAAAGUAGAUUUUGUCCUAUUAUCUGGAUAGCAAACUUCCACUACUAGCAGAGCAGCAUGUUUAAUUCUGAAAUAUGCUGUUCAUCUUAGUUCCUUCUCAGCCUCAAGAGUUAAUGGAUUGUUUCUAUCAAGGAAAAUAAUUUUUUAAAAUCUUAAUUUACUGUGAUCUUCAGUUGUUACAAAGAGCUGAACUGAAAUCAAAUGAGAGAAAGUAUUUUGACAUGAAGAACAGAUCAUGAAUUGUAAUUGUGUCUUAACUAUGCAACCUACAAAAAAUAAUUGGGGUAAUGCUUACAGUAGAAGUUAAGAAUUAACUGGUUUAAUUUCAUUAUGACACAAGCAGAGAAGAAAUCCCAGGUGAAACAUCCAGAACGCAGCCAUGGCAAAUUGCCACACUAAGUCCUGUUGACAAGUAAAGAAUGGUAAAACAGGAUUAUAGAGAAAAAAGUGGGCAGCAAUUCAAUUAGCCUGAGUCCUGAUAGCAUGACAAAGUCUUCAGUAAGAACAAAUGAACCUGAGUUUUAUUGUUCAUGGUUAGAACAAGGCAGCAGUCACUGCUUCCUUCUGCUGAGCCCCUCCCAGUUUCCUUGAAAACAGGAAGGAGAAAUAUGAGGUUUGUCUUGCAUACAUAUCCUGAUCCUAAAUACUGACUCGUUCAGUCAGAAAAUGACAAAAUCAAAGCAAAAUUUAAUUGAAACGGUGAGGACUGAAAACAGAAAUGCUGCAGAAGUUAGAAGCAGUACAUUUCAGAAAUCAAGAAAUCAAGUAAUGUUUUCAAAUUCCUAUUGGGAUAAAAAGAUAGCAAACAAGAAGCAAAGGCAAAGUUGCAUCAGGACAGUUCUUGAUUAUUUUGCAUUUCUACCUAAAAAUGACAAACACAUGAAGCAAUGGUAAAUACCUUAAGUAUUUUAUGUAUGAGCUAUAAUAAAUUUAAAAAAUUGUCAGGCCAAACAGUUGAUGUUAAAGAAAAAUGCUUGGGCUUACGCUAGUACUUUCUACACAGAGAUCCAAUGUAGUGAUAGAAAUGUUAGAUAUAAUUUUAACUUAUAGAAAUAACUGAAUUUAUCUGGCAACUAAACCCCACUCUAGCUAUAGCUUUCAUAACAUUAGAAAUAGUUGCCCAAGGUUUUGGUUAUAUGCUUAAUCUUUUUUCUAAGUCUGUUUCUCAAAGCUUGAGGUUUGUUCAGACCUGGUAGCCAAACCACAUUUUUUGGAACUGGUUUGCAAUGGAACAAUAUAUGAACACCAGUGAAUUAAAUUAAAUCCUGCACCAACCCUGUAGCUACUAAAUAUGUCUCUUCCUUUUCUUCUCAGACACGUAAAACUCAUGUACUUAUAUUACUGAUUUUUUCCUCAAUCAAGUCAAAGAAAAUCCUGUAAAUGCCUACCUUUUUUCCAAGAAAGCGACAGGAAACGUCUCUUUAAAAAUAAUCUCCUCAGAUAUAUAAAUUUAUUCUUUUCACUCCUCUGCAUUUUUUCAAAUCCUGGAAUUCAAGCUUAACAAAUUCUAUUUUACUACAAUACAGUCUUAUUUUUAGGUAAUAUGGGACAGAGACCACAUAUUAAAUGUUGAUUAGAAUAACCUGUGAAUUCAGUGAGCUUGAAAGUGCUUUUGUAAAAAUGUGCAGAUAGGGAUGUCAUCUCGGUAGAAGAGCACCAAGCCCCUCUAGGAAGGCUGAAGAUACUCAAGUACUCCUAGGUAGAGGUGACAUUUGAAUGCCUGGAUUAUCCAAGGCCACAAAAACUGAAUUAAGAACCCCUGUUCUAUCACGUACUCAUCUUUUCACCACAAAGGGACAACUGUUACAUCCGCAAAAAUAAUUCUAAACAUACACUUAGAAUUUUUUUUUUUACUUUACAAAUGUUAUGAAUUUUGUCCAUAAAAGAAAAUAAACCUUCUAUAACUAGUAAUUGCACAUAAAUAACCCCCUCUCCACCUUCCCUAGCCCAUACCUAUUAAGCAGGAUAUAAAAAUUUGCAGUGCUACUUUGCCUCUUAGAUCUUGAACUGAAGAUAUUAGGUGCUGUAGCACUGUUAGAUCUCACUGUUAGAUUACUUAUAAACUCCAAAAUUAGCAUUUGUCAAUGCUGAAACCUACUUUGCAUUAGUUUUAAAGGGCUCUUCGAAAGACUUUAUUUGGAAGGCUGGAGAGCCUAAUGUUGGGUCCUGCAUUCACAAGCAAACUACUUGGAUUGCACGAAAUCGUUUAAUGGUAUUUUUACCUAGCUUUUAUUGCCUCAUUUGGCCUUUAUUACUAUUUUUAUCACCAAAUUAUUAGCUAAUGAACAUUAGUUCAAAAUAAGGAAGGAAGAAAUAAACCAGUCAACCAGCCCAUCCAACUUGAAAUAGGUUGAUUAAACCAGGGCAUUUCCACACUGAGGAGGAAAAUCAACUUGAUAACUUGGUCCUUCCUUAAUAAGACAGCGAUGGCUUGGGAAAUUUUUCACUGCAUUUUUAAAGUUCCAAUAUUCAGUAUACUUAUGUCAGUAAGAUUAUUGUUAUUGAAUAAUUACGGGCAGGCACUGAAACUAUCCAUAGAAAAUACUGAAAUCUUCAGUCCAACAGAAUGCUAAAUUAUUGCCUAAUCUGAGUGCAGAAGACUUCAACAAGUUAUUCAAAUGUUUCAAACUAGGUACACACAUUUUCGGAAUGGAUACCUUAUUUAUUCUUACUUCGAAGAUGAUCACAGAAACAUCUAGCAUCUUGCAGAAUAGGUGUAACAUACAAUUAAAUGGAAGUUUGCAACACGUGUAUUUUUUAGGCAAUCAGUGUGCCCUAGCAUUGCUAACAAUCCUGAAAUAAGCUUACUUUUUGUAGGGAGCAUUUCAAAAUUCAAGUAUUUCAGACUUACAAGAAAUGCCUAUUUUUUGGAAGUUCAGAAGGCCUUGUAUGAGUGUUUUUCAAGGAUUUGAAAUGUGAUACUCAUUAAAUCGCACACUACUCUUGUUCUGAAAGAAUAAACCUAAGCUAGCUGAUGUACAUUAUCUGCAAAAGUUCUAUGGAUAAUUGUUUCCAAAAAGAGAGGACAAAUUUCUUUUUAAAUAAUUUGAGAGUUAUUUUUACAGCCUAACAAUGUUGAUGGAUAGAUUUGAAUGAGGAAGAAAAAAAAAAAAAAAAAAAUCUUUGAAGGGCAACGAAUUGAAGCCCCAUUAUUUCAGACAUUGGAAACAGAUAAAGCUGUAAAAUUAUAAGUAUCUUCCUCUCCUGAAGGAGGAAAGGUUAGGCUACUCAAUAUCCUUCUCCACCUUUCUCUGAUUUGCUUCUGCUUCUGAAACCAAACAUUUCCUCCUGCAACAAAUUCUCUUAGCUUAGCUGCCCCAAAGGACACUUGGUACCAAAAAAGUAAAACAGCUAACGAGAUGGGUAUGGCAACAACUGACCACACAAUCCCAGAUUGAACUUCAGUUUUCUUUACCUAGAUACUCUUUUGUUUUGCAGUCUUUUUGACAUGUGAUGUACCAAAAUGUGUGAAUCUCUCAAUUAAAAAAUGUAAUUAUGUGUUAUUCCAAAACUUGUUACAUUUGAAGGUGAUCAUUGUAACAUUAUACAUUUUUCUUCUGUAACUGCUUUUUUUAUACGUAUCAUUUUCUGAGAAAUAUGUUUGUGAAAGGCAUAUCUCCUAGUAAAAAUACAGGGACAUUUU